CUUUUCAUAGUUCAUAGUCUUAUCUAACAGGUCUACCCAAUGUCUUGAAGCAAAACCAGCACUACAUUUAAAAGUGAAAUACCAAGACAGUGGGCCAGACGAUAUCAGCCUAGCGCAGUGAGUGAAUGUGUGGGAUAACCGCAUUAGGGAGAUUUGAUGCCACUGUGGUUUGUAAUCCUUUUGAAGUGAGAUCAUUUUUCCAGCGGUGGUCGAAACACAAUCCUCAGUUACAGACCCUGGAAGUGAUGAUCUUUUUUUUACCCUUUUUCAGUGAAAUUUUAGAACACUUUUCAGAAUGAGGUGUAAAAAAAAAAAAAAAAAAACUGAAAACUGAGAAGUAGAGCUCAACUUUGACAACAUGAGAAAUCAAAUGCAUUGCUGUUACACAAGAAAUUCAGAAAUUCAGUUGAUCAGAAUGAUUAAAGCACUGUAAUGUAGAUCGAAAUAAUACAGCUGUGGAUUUAAUUACAUUCCUAGUUUAAUGUACUUAUAUUUAUAAAGAUGUAGUUUUAUAUUCCCCAUAUUUUCAUCUAUUUACAAGAUUCACUGCUAUGCAUUUUAAGGAAACAUAGUGUAAAAGAUUCUGAAGGUCAAAACUCAGCAUAUCUUGAGUGUUGCGUUGAAAAUGGCCAGGCACAAACUAACGUGCAGAUGUUAAAAUACAUUCAGUUCACAUAAAUUAGUUAAGCCAACCUAAAAUUUCAAUUCAAUUUAAUAUUUUAUGUUUUUUAAAUCUUCUACAGUACAAGAAAACUAAUUUUGUUUAACUAAAUCGAAUGGAAUUAAAUUAUAUUCAAACUAAAUUAAAGUAAAAAAGAUUCAGUUAUAAAAGGAAAUACAAGGACGAAAACCAAUAACUUAGUAGUUAACACUGGACACAGGACAUACUGGAAAUUUUUUCCAUAAAAUGAGAUAUACUACUGCAUAAUCAAACGGUGGGCAAAUACACUCCCUACUUCAAUUAGCACACAUGGGCCUCACCGUACAUGCAGUGUAACCUUAGUGCAUACAUUUAAGUGUGUGUGUGUGUGUGUGUGUGUGUGUGUGUGUGUGUGUGUGUGUGUGAGGACUACUUUAGUGUAGGUGCAUAUGAGAUUCACAAAGCCCUCAACACAUCAAGCAAAAGAAGAGGGCCACCAAUGCAGAAACUGAGGACCAUGGGAGUUUUUGUUGGACUUCAACCACCUCACCCCCCAAUCCCGUUCUUCUUCAAAGUGCACACCGGCAGCAGAGGGGCGUGGCCCAUUGAGAGAGGGCUGGAUUUAGGCCUUUGUCCUUCUGGCUUCAGGGGCGAGUGACAUCUUGAACGCUUCAAGAAGAUUAAAUAGCAAAGCCCAGUCGGAAACAGAGAGAGAGAGAGAGCAAGAGAGCGAGGGAGAGAGAAUAAAGAGGAGAGAGGUAAAAAGAGGAAUGGCGAGGGUGGGACCCAAGGGUUUGUAAAUGUCCGUUGGGGAAAUGGAGAUUUGGAGAAAUGGAUUCGGAAAGGAAAAGGGGAAUGCUGAGGAGGAAAGAGGAUAAUGAGAGGAGGAGAGGAAAAGAGUGGCCUCAAUGAAUAGGAUUAGACCGGUCUCACCGUAAGGAGAGAGAGAUGGAGAGAAAGAAUGUAGGAAGGACACGGAGAGGAUGGAGGACUGUGUGUGUUCAUCUCAUACACUUCACAUCACAUAUACAAUGCAUGAUGGGAGGUACUUGACACAACGGCCUACACCAUACGAAGUCUUUAAUAACAGCAUGGGUUUGUUAAAAAACAUGCAAGAAACAGCCCCCCAAUUAAACAAAUAAGCAACAGAUUUCUGAAAUGUACAGAGCAUAAAAUGUGUAGUCAAAGUCACUACUGUUAAGAAAUAGAAAUUGUGGCAUGAUACUGGAAAACAGUUUCAAACGGGACAGUAAAGACAUAAUGUUACAAAAUAUUUUUUUAUUUCAAAUAAAUGCUGUUCUUUUCAACUUCCUAUUCAUCAAAGAGUCCAGAAAAUUAAUUAAUUUUUCCAAAAAUAAAUAAACAAACAAAUAAAUAAAUAAUAAGCAGCAUGACUUUUUAAAGUUUUAUAAUAAGAAGAAAUUAUUGAUUUCUGAAAAUUUUAUGUGACAAUACCAUGGGAAUAAAUAAAAACCAUGAACAUAGAAAAUGCCAUAUUUCAGUACUUUUGAAGCUUACAGGCCUACAUUAACAUUGUCUGUGUGGUUUUGUUGAGUGUAGAGGAUGUUGUAGGUUCCUGGGCCAUACUGUUGAGAACGCCCCAUCCCAUGGCAGAACACUUUUAUCCUUUAUGCGUGGGUCAGUGGGCGCCCCCUGGGGGGAAACAACCCCCAGGAUUAAUGAUAUGCGUGACAUGCAUUGUGUGACCCCCAUGGGGUGUGGGGGUGAUGCGGGGUUGGGUUAUCUAAACUCCCCCUCAUCUUGCCCUCAGCAAAGCUAGUCAACCUGCUAAAGAAACUCAAGAAUGUGCAUCGGAAUGUGCAGGAAAAUCUGUGUGUGACUGUUGUUAUGAGGCGGAGAGACACAAAGCUCUUCAAUAAAUGACUGAUGGCACUCAAACCGGACAGAAUCUGUCAUUGUCUGGGCUAUUGAGUCAAGUACAAGAAAGGUGGACAAGGAGAAAAUGUCUAAUGAAUUAUAUAUGAUUGUUAUGUGACCAUUAAUUGCUUGGAUAUAUUUGUAUAAUUGUUAUAGGACUUUUUUAAUUAAAACUGAUGUGUUCAGUCAACUUUUUUUUCCAUCAUUUGUUGAAAAUAGAUUUUUUUUUUAAUUAAAAUUAAUUUGACUAAUUAAUCAACAUAUGCAAUAAACA
ensembl:lncRNA